rnacentral:rRNA from 1 species
ACAAGCGGUGGAUGAUGUGGUUUAAUUCGAUGCAACGCGAAAACCUUACCCACCUUUGACAUGGCAGGAAUCCUGAAGAGAUUUGGGAGUGCUCGAAAGAGAACCUGCACACAGGUGCUGCAUGGCUGUCGUCAGCUCGUGUCGUGAGAUGUUGGGUUAAGUCCCGCAACGAGCGCAACCCUUGCCAUUAGUUGCUACGAAAGGGCACUCUAAUGGGACUGCCGGUGACAAACCGGAGGAAAGGUGGGGAUGACGUCAAGUCCUCAUGGCCCUUAUAGGUGGGGCUACACACGUCAUACAAUGGCCGGUACAGAGGGUAGCCAACCCGCGAGGGGGAGCCAAUCCCACAAAGCCGGUCGUAGUCCGGAUCGCAGUCUGCAACUCGACUGCGUGAAGUCGGAAUCGCUAGUAAUCGCGGAUCAGCAUGUCGCGGUGAAUACGUUCCCGGGUCUU